AAAGCAGUUAAAUAAAUUUGAAGAAAAAUUAAUUAGAAUAAGCUCAGAUUUAGGCACGGAUUUUUCCUCGUCUUUAAACUGAUCCUCGAAAUUAGAUGAACUCCUCUUCUCCAAUAAGCUAGUUAUAGCUACCGAGGACGCCUAGGACACCAACUCUUCCUUGUGUAAAUUAGUUAUGGAACGUCCAAUAACUAACCCUUACCGAUUGAACAACCACGAAACAUUCGUGAUUUAGAACUCCGGCAACUUUGCGCUCUAGAAGAGCCUAUCUCGAACCAAUGCCUUCAACCGCGUGGGACAUUUAAAUCCGGUUACUACUUCCC
rnacentral:lncRNA from 1 species